ACCAGCAGCCAUAUCACCCUGAAACUCACAACUGGCAACCCACUGAAGCUAAGCAGGUGUGAGCCUGGUCAGUACCUGGAUGGGAGACCUCCUAGGAAAAACUAAGGUUGCUGCUGGAA
ensembl:rRNA 5S_rRNA 5S ribosomal RNA